GUAACAUUUGAAGCCAGACUGUUUCAGAAUUAAACAAAGGUCAGUAGCUCAGAGCAAGGAGAGGAAGGUGGGACACAGCGAGGGAAACAGAAUAUUGCAAAGUAUUUCUUGAAUAUUCACACCUAAUCUUGCACUAAACCUAAGAUGACAAGCACAGGCCCUGUGUGUCAGGCACUGCACGUACCCGGGAAGACAACGCCAGAUGAAUGGCCUGAUGGGGGUGACAGACCACUGGGUCAACUUCAGAAUUUCAGAACUGGAAGGGGUGUUCAAGAUUCUUUGGUCCAACACCUUCAUUUUAGAAGAAGUGAAGACUACACAGAGUAUACAGAGUAUUUCCUUGCAAGAUAAUCAGAAAUGAGCAAUUAUUUAAGAUAUGGAUUCUUUUUGAAAGACUUCAGCAUAGCAAAAUGGUAACUGAAUUACUAUGAAUGGUAAGAGAAAAAAAGGAGUAUGUUGAUUUCCAAUGCUGUUUUUAAGCCUCCGAAGCCCCUGGCCUCCUAUUAUUCACACCUUUCCGUGGCCUUUCCACAAUGCACCAGACUGCAGCUUCUGGAGUCUUCUGUCUCUUUCUCUCCCUCUUUCCAUCCCUAUUAUUCCCUCUGGAGGAAGUCUGAUGCCUUGUCUUGAGCAGCCUCGUGAGACGUGUCCCACAGUAGCCAGGGAGCCCUGCCUUUAGGCCUUGCGGGUGAACUUGGAGGCAGAUUUCUCCAGGCAGAGCUAAGCCAUGACUGCAGCCCCAGCUGACAGCCUGGCAACAACCUCAGGAGAGACCCUGAGCCAGGACCACCUAGCUGGGAGGAGGGUCUCAGAGUCAGUCUGGACUCCUGACUCAGAACUGUGUGAAACAGUCAGAGUUUGUUGUUUUAAAACCCCAAAUUUGAAGGUAAUUUGCUAUGCAGUAAGAGAUAACUUUGGGCUUCCCUGGUGGCUCACUGGUAAAGAAACUGCCUGCAAUGCAGGAGCCUCGGCUGGAUCCCUGGAUUGGGAAGAUCCCCUGGAGAAGGAACUGGCAAACCACUCUAGCCUGGAGAAUCCCAUGGACAGAGGAGCCUAGCAGGCUACAGUCUGUAGGAUUAAAGAGUUGGAAAUGACUGACUGACUAAAAAACAAUUG
ensembl:lncRNA